rnacentral:misc_RNA from 1 species
CGCGUAUUAGGGUGCCGACCGGCGCUCUUUGCACACCCACCCUUUGCCUAUGUGUACCCUUCCAUCGCUUCCUCGGCGGGCUCGCCCGCCGGUAGGAACCAAACAAACCCUUUGCAUCCUACGCGAAAACUUCUGAUAACCACUUAAAUAAGUCA